GUUCAAUAGUACGUGAAACCUCUCGGGGGUAAGCGGGCAGAACUUGCAAGUAUUGGCGAGAAUAUUCAGGCUUAUUAUGUUGGCAACUGAGGGUGCUUUAUUAUGUUGUCCGUUUCGGCGGAUUGGCUGGUGUGUGCCCUUUGGUUUGUUGAUGAUGCGCCGCAUUUAUUCUCGUCAUCGGGUUGCAUGUGACUGAGGUUUUUGGUAGUUUAGGUGCUGAGGAUCUGCGAAGCCUUGUUGUUUCGAGUCUUGGUUUCCAACUACUACUGCGGUCAUUACACAUGAAUGAGCAGGCGUUUAGGCGCGGUCAAAGGCUUGUACGAGUUGUGUGCGUAUGAUGUGUGGACGGUUUUACCGUAGCAUGUUGUACGAGGCUGAUUGUCGGUACGAGUAAUAUUUGGC
rnacentral:rRNA from 1 species